rfam:Heterocephalus glaber contig210224, whole genome shotgun sequence.
GGAUGCGAGGGUGAACUGGCUGUAAUAUCUGUCACCCCACCGACCGCCAGAGUUCAUUCAGCUGAUCUGGUUGUGUAGGCGGGUGUCCCUUCCUCUCUGACUGCUGCAUGUGUGUCCCUCCCGAAGCUGUGCUGAAGACGACAACCAUCCCCAAAUGAGGAGAGAGAGAGGACCGGCUCCUUGGUCAAGGGUGUGUGAGUAGCUGCGCUCCCCUUCUAGAAUCUCCAAACAAGCUCUCGAAGCCAGAAACUAAGUCCUUUUGUCCAAUGCAGAUUUUAUCAGCGUUUCAUAUAAUAAGAUACAAGUACACUGUUGGAAUUUAAUAAACUAUCUUUUCCUU